AAAAAAAAUUGCAAAUAUAGAUAUCCAAUACAUCGCUUUUGUAUUAGUCAGUUUUAUCUUUAUAGUUUAUAUGUUAUAUAUUGUUACAAUAAUUCUUUUAAAUUGUCAUAAACAUUUUCAAUGUUUCUUUCACAUUGUUUCUUUUUAGGUAAAACAGUUAUCAUUAAUUAGCGGUAAAAAAUCGAGUAGAUACAAUUAAAAAUACUUUGCUCUUACUACCAACAGACACUAUUUUGUCCGAAUACAGCAUGAAUGGUCUAAAGAAGAAAAAAAAGUUUAAAGAAUUGACAAGUCUAUGUAAUGCUGAAACUGCUUUAAAGUCAAAUAAAAACAAAAUGGAUGCCAUCCAUCCAACUUAUUGGGAGAGUAAUUAGGAAUUCUUCUGACCGAUUAAAGAAAACAUCCACUAAUAUGAAUAUCAAUCAAUGAUCGGCUUAA